rnacentral:rRNA from 1 species
GACAGAGGGUGCAAACGUUGUUCGGAAUUACUGGGCGUAAAGCGCGUGUAGGCGGGCCGGCACGUCGGUCGCUGAAAUCCCCCGGCUCAACCGGGGAAGGGGCGCCGAUACGACCGGCCUGGAGGGGCGUAGGGGGAUCGGGAACUUCCGGUGGAGCGGUGAAAUGCGUUGAGAUCGGAAGGAACGCCCGUGGCGAAAGCGCGGUCCUGGACGCCAUCUGACGCUGAGACGCGAAAGCCAGGGGAGCGAACGGG